UACGAAGGGGGCGAGCGUUGUUCGGAAUUACUGGGCGUAAAGGGCGCGCAGGCGGCUCAGACAGUCAGAUGUGAAAGCCCCGGGCUUAACCUGGGAACUGCAUUUGAUACUACUGAGCUUGAGUACGGGAGAGGAUAGUGGAAUUCCCAGUGUAGAGGUGAAAUUCGUAGAUAUUGGGAAGAACACCGGUGGCGACGGCGGCUCUCUGGACCGUAACUGACGCUGAGGCGCGAAAGCGUUGGGAGCAAACAGG
rnacentral:rRNA from 1 species